GCCGGGCAUGGUGGCGUGUGCCUGUAAUCCCAGCUACUUGGGAGGCUGAGGCAGGAGAAUCGCUUGAACCAGGAAGUCAGAGGUUGCAAUGAGUGGAGAUCACGCCACUGCACUCCAGCCUGGUGACAGAGCAAGAUUCUGUCUCAA
rnacentral:SRP_RNA from 1 species